AAAUCUGGCGUCUUCGACGUCCGAGUUGUAAUUUGAAGAAGGCGACUUUGUAGCUGGUCCUUGUCUAUGUUCCUUGGAACAGGACGUCAUAGAGGGUGAGAAUCCCGUGUGGCGAGGAUCCCAGUUAUUUGUAAAGUGCUUUCGACGAGUCGAGUUGUUUGGGAAUGCAGCUCUAAGUGGGUGGUAAAUUCCAUCUAAAGCUAAAUAUUGGCGAGAGACCGAUAGCGAACAAGUACAGUGAUGGAAAGAUGAAAAGAACUUUGAAAAGAGAGUGAAAAAGUACGUGAAAUUGUUGAAAGGGAAGGGCAUUUGAUCAGACAUGGCGUUUGCUUCGGCUUUCGCUGGGCCAGCAUCAGUUUUAGCGGUUGGAUAAAUCCUCGGGAAUGUGGCUCUGCUUCGGUAGAGUGUUAUAGCCCGUGGGAAUACAGCCAGCUGGGACUGAGGAUUGCGACUUUUGUCAAGGAUGCUGGCGUAAUGGUUAAAU
rnacentral:rRNA from 1 species